GGGUGCAGCCGCCGUCGGCUGCAGGCAUCGUGGAUGGUCGGGCCGCCAUCC
rnacentral:ncRNA from 12 species